AUUGCAGGAGUAUGCAAAAGGAAAAGUAGACCUACAAAAGUGAUCACUGGGACGCUCCCCUUGAAAAAGUCAUAAAAUGCACCCAUUAGAUACAAAUGUGUACUUUUUGAAAGGAUAUCACUCUAGUGAUAGAUUUUGUACUUUUUUUUCUAAAAGUGUGAUAUAAGAUGAUACAGUAUAUUUAAAAGUGGACCAACACCUCAAAUAAAAAAGGUUAACUUGUUGUAGAACCUUGCAAAAUUUGACAAGCCAACCGAAUAAAAAAGCAGAAGUUUGUUAUGUAAGGACAGGUUUUCAUUACAUAUGAUAGUAUCAGAAUAAACAAUUAUUUAUAGAUUUAACCCAAUACAUUGUAUUAAAGCCCAGAUAUAACCCAAUGACAGAAUUCAGUCAUUCGAAUGUUCAUUUAUUCUUCAAUAUAAUGACAUGUAAAAUAAAUAAACAAAAAUUAUUUGAAUAUAAAAGUAUUAAAUGUUAAAGUACUAAAUCUCAAUUAUACAUUCAUUGUCACUCCAGAGCAUAUUAUUUGCAAAAGCAUUUUACCUCAAAAAUACUUUUAAAACAUGUUAAAGGCAAAACAUUGCUUCUCACAGUUUCUCAACAUUUCACAAAAGGAAGUGUUUCAAAGCUACUGGGGGAGCUUUGAGACCACACAACUCUGAAAACAAGCAAGCUGACAAGAUCUUUACAGUUUAACUUUUAUACUAGAUUCAUGUCUAAAUAACAUUGUAUAGGUAAUUGCAGUGCUGUUCAUAUUUGAAAACCUAUAAAAAGCCCAUUAACAGGAGAAGAUUUUCAUUUUAAAGAAUAUUUAAGAAACCAGUGAAAAAAUGGAAACCACAGAGACUGUUGCUGCCAGAAAAUCAUUCAUUGUGGUGAUUAACCUGAUUGGAUGGAUGGUGUUAAUAUCAGCUAUUGGAUUAGGAGUCAUCCAUUUGUAUGAGUGUCCUGCACAACCAAACCUUCCCAUCUAUCUGACUGUGACUGGUGUGAGUGGACUGCUUUCAUUGCUGCUGAUAUACAUAAUAAGGAACACUAGUGAUGGCCAAAUGAGGCUUCCUGAACCACUGAGGCUUUCCAGCCCAUUGGUUCGCCAAAAGGUUCAGUUACCCGAAGCCUCAUGAACAGUGUGCUCUCUAGUGACACCUGCUGUGGAAAGCAAUGUAUUGCACACAAAUCUAUUCAUUCUGAGCAACCAAAUUUUCAUGGUGUGGGCUUUAUCUAUUGCCUGUGUAUUAAAUAAAGUAUUUUACUCUGCUUGUGUUAACCUAUGUACACACAACUCGUACAAACACAACUUUGUGUUAAACUAUUCAGUAGUUCUUUGGGUUAUUGAUAACCGUGAAUGCCCCGAAUGAGUGUAAAUAAAUUAUUAUGAGUGCAGUGCUGACUGGGAAUGCAAUAGUGCAAUGCUUAUUGAACUGAGGGGUGCAAUAGUGCAAUGCUUAUGGGACUGGAAGUGUGAAACAGCAAACUGCAACACGGAAAAGUGUUUACUGGUUUUUAUUUAAAACAAAAGUUUUUUAACAGUAUUUGGAUUGAAGCGGUUUCUCUUUUUAGAAAGCUCCUCUCAAACCUUAGAAAACACCCUUUCACAGGGCACUGAUGAUGCUGGACAACAUAAGACGGUCAGUGCCAGCUUAUACAA